UCACAGUGUUUGUGCCAUCCUGGAGGAAGU
rnacentral:piRNA from 1 species